rnacentral:lncRNA from 1 species
AAAAAAGAGAAAAAGAAAAUGGCUUCGAUUCUCAAGUUGUACGUUGUGUUUAUAUUCCUUUUUUUCUUUGUUGCAUCAAAUGUUGAUGGUGAGCCAUUUUCUUCUUCAAAUUUCAUUUUAAUUUUUUAUUUCUUUUUCGUUUAUAAAGAAAAUAUUUUAUCUCAUUUUAACAAUAUAAAUUAUUUUUUUAUUAUAGGUCGUCAGGCUUGUGUACACGAUCGCGAAUGUAAAUGCCCUGGACAUCCAGUAAGCAGGUGUGUCAAAGGUUUCUGUAGAUGUUAUACCUUUCCUGCUAUCCCCAGUUUUAAAGGGAUGAAUAAGUAUUAGGUGAACAUGGUUAUCUAUUUCAAAUACUUAAAUAAAAUCUAUGUAAUGUUAUAUUUCAAGACAAUAAAUAAUAAAUAUUAUAAACAUGGUUAUCUAUUUAAUAUUUCAAGAUCUUAAAUGGAUGAAUAAGUAUCAGGUGAAUACAAAUAAUAUUGAAGAAUAUAAAUAUUUUGAUGUGAAUUUUGUUUUCUCAUCUUGAUUUGAAAAUUGUGAUAGGUCUCUUAUCUUUCGGUUGUGUAUUUCUUGAAUCUAUUUGGGUGUUGUAGUAUUUUGCGGCUCAAGUCUUUAUAUAUAAUAUUCUACUUCUUUUUAAGAAAAUAAUAAAAUAAUUAUUUUAAUAAAUUCAGUUAAAAUUAUUUAAAGUGUUGAAAAUGUCCAUAGACAACAUAAAUAUCUUGCAAACUCAAUUUUAUUUUAAAUAGAUAUAUGUUUAUGCAAUAUAAAAUAUAUUGAGACCACCAAAACUCUACUUAAUUGAAAAGAAUAUAUUGUUAAAUAAAAUGUUACAUGAUACAAAAGAAUAACAAAUUUAUAAUAUUCAAUUGUUAAACUACUAAGCUAUGAAGGUAUUAUUGUAAUUCAAAAAUAAAUAAAUAAGUAAUUGAGAGAGUACUACAAAUAAAGUGGUCCUAACACUCAUUUUCAUUAAUUUAUAAAGGAAAAUUUUAACAAGUGCCUGAAAUACUCGUUAAGACUUUAAAUAUGUAUGUUUUAUUUAAAAAUAGUUAUAUUCAAUAUAUUAAAAUUUAAAACAACUUAUUCUUUUAACAAAUAAAAUGGGAUUAAUUGUUAUGCACUGACGGAGUAAAUUUUUUUACAUUGUCAAUACAUCACAAUCAUCUAUUUGUGUCAUUUUACAUGUGAUUAUAAUAAAAGUCAAACUUUUUUAACAAAUCAAUAGUUAUAAUUUUUUGAUAGUAUAAAAUAUUUUUAUACUGUUGCUAUAUUUCAAUUAAAUCGUAAUAAAAUAUAUAUAUAUUUUUUUAAGAUUUGUAUUCAACGUAAUAUUUUAUUUAUUUAAAAAUUUUAAGAGUGUUCUGGAUCACUAUAACCCUAAUUUAAAACCAUACUAUGAAUUUGGACAACCGUGCAUUGUUCUAGUUAACACACACUCUUAAAUUGAAUUCGAUCAUAAUAACAAUGGAUAGAUGUAACAAAAAAUUUUAAAAUAGUAAAAUAAAAGAAACUACCAAUUAUAUUGUUGGAACUUAAAUUAAAUUGCACUAACUAAUUUUUUGUUUUUGAAGAGUGCAGGAAUGUAUGUGGAUAACUGUUAAUGUAACAAAAAAUUUUAAAAUAGUAAAAUAAAAGAAACUACCAAUUAUAUUGUUGGAACUUAAAUUAAAUUGCACUAACUAAUUUUUUGUUUUUGAAGAGUGCAGGAAUGUAUGUGGAUAACUGUUACAGAAUUCAAUUACAUGUUCUAAAUAACGGUUUUUGUUUUUGUUUAAAGAAUAAAGUGAGAGGGGCGAUCAGAGGAAACAUUUACAAAGAAGUCACACACUUAAAAAAAAAUAGAUAAAAGAUAAAUUUAUAGUUACUAAAACGGUCAAUAAUAUGACAUUAUAUAAAUAUAAACAUAUAUAAAAUAAGGAAAAAUUGUGCUCAAUGUUCCAUUUCCGGACAAAUAAUGAGAGGGUAAGAAAAUAACAUAUAAGAUGAACAAUAUUUAUAUAAAAAAAAAUAUUUU